rnacentral:rRNA from 1 species
UACAGAGGUGGCAAGCGUUGUUCGGAAUUACUGGGCGUAAAGGGCGCGUAGGCGGCCUUCUAAGUCAGACGUGAAAUCCCCCGGCUUAACCUGGGAACUGCGUCUGAUACUGGGAGACUUGAGUAUGGGAGAGGGAUGUAGAAUUCCAGGUGUAGCGGUGAAAUGCGUAGAUAUCUGGAGGAAUACCGGUGGCGAAGGCGGCAUCCUGGACCAUUACUGACGCUGAGGCGCGAAAGCUAGGGGAGCAAACGGG